GAUGAACGCUGGCGGCGUGCUUAACACAUGCAAGUCGAACGGGAAUUACUUUAUUGAAACUUCGGUCGAUAUGAUUUAAUUCUAGUGGCGGACGGGUGAGUAACGCGUGGGUAACCUGCCUUAUACAGGGGGAUAACAGUCAGAAAUGACUGCUAAUACCGCAUAAGCGCACAGAGCUGCAUGGCUCGGUGUGAAAAACUCCGGUGGUAUAAGAUGGACCCGUGUUGGAUUAGCUAGUUGGUGAGGUAACGGCCCACCAAGGCGACGAUCCAUAGCCGGCCUGAGAGGGUGAACGGCCACAUUGGGACUGAGACACGGCCCAGACUCCUACGGGAGGCAGCAGUGGGGAAUAUUGCACAAUGGGGGAAACCCUGAUGCAGCGACGCCGCGUGAAGGAAGAAGUAUCUCGGUAUGUAAACUUCUAUCAGCAGGGAAGAAAAUGACGG
rnacentral:rRNA from 1 species